rnacentral:rRNA from 1 species
GUGCCAGCAGCCGCGGUAAAACGUAGGAGGCGAGCGUUAUCCGGAUUUACUGGGUGUAAAGCGCGUGCAGGCGGUUCAGCAAGUCACGUGUGAAAGCGCCCGGCUCAACCGGGCGAGGACGGGUGAAACUGCUGAACUGGAGGCCGGUAGAGGCGUGUGGAAUUCCGGGUGUAGUGGUGAAAUGCGUAGAGAUCCGGAGGAACACCAGUGGCGAAGGCGACACGCUGGACCGAGCCUGACGCUCAGACGCGACAGCAUGGGGAGCGAACGGGAUUAGAUACCCCCGUAGUCC